UGGGGAAUCUUGCACAAUGGGGGAAACCCUGAUGCAGCGACGCCGCGUGAGCGAUGAAGCCCUUCGGGGUGUAAAGCUCUUUCGACAGGAACGAUAAUGACGGUACCUGGAGAAGAAGCUGCGGCCAACUACGUGCCAGCAGCCGCGGUAAUACGUAGGCAGCGAGCGUUGUUCGGAGUUACUGGGCGUAAAGCGUGCGUAGGCGGUCGACUAAGUUUGGUGUGAAAUCUCCCGGCUUAACUGGGAGGGUGCGCCGAAUACUGGCCGGCUCGAGUGUGGGAGAGGGAAGCGGAAUUCCUGGUGUAGCGGUGAAAUGCGUAGAUAUCAGGAGGAACACCUGCGGUGAAGACGGCUUCCUGGACCAUUACUGACGCUGAUGCACGAAAGCGUGGGGAGCAAACAGG
rnacentral:rRNA from 1 species